rnacentral:lncRNA from 1 species
CCUGACUGUUUUCCUCACUGGCACUUGCUGUUCAAAGUAAAAAGUUCAAUGUGAUCUUCCUCUUUCUGUUUAGAAGACAGCAACCUCAGUGAAGCUUGUCCUGAGAAUCCACGAAAGGAUACCAUGUUUCUAGAAGAUAGCAGAGCAACAAAAUGGAAGGAGAGAUUGAUAAAAGAAGCCUCCCGGAUCUCAGCGCUAAGAGAGACCCCUCCAGCUGCAAUUUUUCCCACAGUGGAGAGAGCUAUGUGAACAUCUGCCACCUCAGCUUUCGGGGCACUGCUUCAGAGGCCUGCUUCUGCAUCACCUGACCCAUAACACUGAAGGAGCGGCACAAUUAGAUCUUCUGGGGGCAGGUAAGAACAGAGCAAAGAGGUGGGUAUUCAUAGCAACUGGCACAUGGAUCUCAACAACCAACCUGUAGACCCUGGUGGCCAGUCCCCACAAAUACAUAUACACCCAACAUCAGAGCACUUAAAUAUGUAAAGUAAACAUUGACAGAGAAAUAGACAGCAAUACAGUAAUAAUAGGUGAGCUCAGUAUCCCAAUUUCAAUAAUAGAUAGAACAUCCAGACAGAAACAUCAAUAAAGAAACAGCAGACUUGGAAAACACUAUGGACCAAUUGGACCUAACAGACAUAUACAAAACAUUCCAUCCAAAAGGAGCAAAAUAUACAUUCUUCUCAAGUAUAUAUGGAAUGCUCCACAGGAGAGAUCACAUGCUAGGUCACAAAAAAGUCUCAAUACAUUUGUAAAAAGUGAAAUCAUCCAAAGCAUCUUUUUCAACCACAAUGGAAUCAAAGUAGAAAUCAAUAACAUAAAGAACAUAAAGAAACUCACAAAUGCAUAAAAAUUUAAUGACACACUCUUGAAGAAACACUGAAUAAAAGAAGAAAUCAAAAAGGAAAUUAGAAAAUAACACAAAUGAAAAUAAAAAUGCAAUAUACCAAAACUUAUGGGAUGCAGCAAAAGCAGCACUAAGAGAAAAAUUUAUAACGAUAAAUGCUACAUUAAAAAAGAAAAAAGAUCACAAACAUACAAGUAGUAGAUAAAUAAGUCCUGGAGACUUAAUGCACAAUAUAGUGAAUAUAGACAAUAUCAUAUUAUAAUAAACUUGCUAAGAGACUAGAUCUUAAUUGUUCCUACCACCAAAGAAAGAUAAGUAUGUGACAUGAUAAAAGUGCUAACUAACACGACAAUGGCAAUCAUAACGCCAUAUGUAAAUAUAUUGAAUCAACAUGUUGUAUACUUUAAUCUUAUACAACGUUGUAUAUAAAAUAUACUUCAGUUAAAAAAAAAGAAGGAUCUCAAAUAAUCUAACUUUACACCUCAAGAAAGUAGAAAAAGAAAAAACAAAGUCCAAAGUUAGGAGAAGGAAAAAAAUAAGCAUUAGGACUGAAAUAAAUCAAUUGGAGAAUUGAAAAACAAUAGAAAACAAUGAUGAAACUAGAAGUUGGCGUUUUUUUUGCAAAGAUGAGCAAAAUUGACAAACCCUUAGCUAGACUACCUAAGAACAAAAGAGAGAAGACUCAAAUAGAUUGUCAGAAAUGAAAGAAGACACCUUGUAAUCAAUGCGACAUAAAUGAAAAAGACCAUAAGAAACUAUUAUGCACAAUCAUACACCAACAAAUUGGACAACAUAGAAGAAAUGGAUAAAUUCCAAGAAACAUAUAACCUACUAAAACUGAGUCAAAAAGAAAUAGAGGCUUCUUCUAUCUUGCCUGAUAUCCCCUGGGCCUUACCGUUAUCUGCAACAAGUUGGCAGAAGCAUAAGGAGAAUAUAAAGAAGGUUACCCCACUUCUUAAAAGCCCUGACCUAGAAGGAAAGAUGUCAUUUACGCUUAUAUUCCCUUGCUGAGAACCAGCCACAUGGUCACACUUACAGGCAAGCGUAGCUGUAUUCACAAUAGCCAAUAUAUGGAAACAAGCUAAAUGUCCAUCAAUGGAUGAAUGGAUAAAGAAGGGUAGUGUAUAUAUAUAUAUAUAUAUAUAUAUAUAUACAUAUGCACAAUGGAAUAUUAUUCAGCAAUGGGAAAGAAGGAAAUCCAGCCAUUUUAGGCAACAUGGAUGGACCUUGAAGGCUUUAUGCUAAGUGAAAUAAGUUAGACAGAGAAAUACAAAUACCAAGUAUGAUAUUACUUAUAUGUGGAAUCUAAAAAAGCUAUACUUAUGGAUACAGAGACUAGAAUGGUGGUUCCUAGGGGCUGGGAGGCAGGGGAAAUGAGGAGAUGUUGGUCAAAGAGUACAAACUUCCAGUUAUGAGAUGAAUAAGUUCUGGGAUCUAAUGUACAGUGUGGGGAUAGUAGAUAAUAAUACUGUAUUAUAUACUUGAAAGUUGCUAAGAGAGUAAAUCUUAAAUGUUCUCACCACAAAAAAGAAAUGUAAUUAUAUGAUGACGUGAUGGAGUUGUUAACUAAUGCUAUGGUGGAAAUCAAUUUGCAAUAUAUGAGUGUAUCAAAUCAACACGUUGCAUAUGUUAAACUUACACAAUGUCAUAUGUCAAUUCUAUCUCAGUAAAGCUGGAACAAAACAAAAUGAUAAGGCCACCCACAGAAUGUCAUAAAAUAUUUGCAAACUCUGUAUCUGUUAAGGGGUUAACAUCUUUAAUAGCAUUUAGAGGACUCCUAAAACUCAACAACAACAGCAAAGCAAGCUGAUUUAAAAAUGGGCAAAGACUUGAAUAGACAUUUUGCCACAGAAGAUGUAUAAAUGGCUAAUAAGCACAUGAAAAGUUGCUCAAUAUCACUUAUGUUAAGAAAUUCAGAUCCAAACCACAAUAAUAUACCACUUCAUAUCCAUUAGGAUGGUUACUAUCAAAAAAGCAGAAAACAGCAAGUGUUGAUAAGGAUGUGAGAAACUGGAACCCUUGCACCCUGUUAAUGGGAAUGUAAAAUGGUACAGCUGCUGUCAAAAACAGUAUAGCAGUCCCUCCAAAAAAUUACAAAUAGCAUUAUUUUACAAUACAGAAAUUCCACUUCUGGGUAUAAUAUCAAAAGAAUUGAAAGCAGAAACUUGAAAAUAUAUUUGUACACCCAUGUUCACAGCAGCAUUAUUUGAAAUAGCCAAUAAGUGAAAGCAACCCAAAUGUCCACUGAUGGAUGAGUGGAUAACAAAUUGUGAUAUAUACAUACAAUCUAAUAUUAUUUAACCUUAGAAAGGAAGGAAAUUCUGACGCAUGCUACAAUGAUCCUUAGAGACAUUAUGUUAAGUGAAAUAAGCCAGUCACAAAAGCACAAAUAUUGUAUGAUUCUACUUAAACCUAGAGUAGUCAAAUUAUAGAGAUGGAAGAAUGUUGGUUGCCAGGGACAAAAGGUGAAAGAAAUGGGGAGCGACUUUUGAAUGAGUACAGAAUUUCAGUUUUGCAAGAUGAAAAGAGUUCUGUGGAUGGAUAGUGGUGAUGGCUGCACAACAGUGUGAAUGUACUUAAUGUCACUGAACUGUACACUUAAAAAUGGCUAACCUGCAGGGCUGGCCCCGUGGCCGAGUGGUUAAGUUCGCGCACUCCGCUGCAGGCGGCCCAGUGUUUCGUUGGUUCGAAUCCUGGGCGCGGACAUGGCACUGCUCAUCAGACCACGCUGAGGCGGCGUCCCACGUGCCACAACUAGAAGAACCCACAACGAAAAAUACACAACUGUGUACUGGGGGGCUUUGGGGAGAAAAAGAAAAAAUUAAAUCUUUAAAAAAAAAAAAAUGGCUAACCUGGCAAAUUGUCGGUUAUGUGUAAUUUACC